UAAGGAAUAUUGCUCAAUGGGAGAAAUCCUGAAGCAGCAACGCCGCGUGGAGGAUGAAGGGUCUAUGACUUGUAAACUCCUGCAAAGAAGGAAAAAAUUCCCAUUUGAUGGGAGAUGAUGGUACUUCUGGAGUAAGCCCCGGCUAACUACGUGCCAGCAGCCGCGGUAAUACGUAGGGGGCAAGCGUUGUCCGGAUUUACUGGGUGUAAAGGGUGCUCAGGCGGAUUUGUAAGUCAGAGGUGAAAUCUUACAGCUUAACUGUGAAACUGCCUUUGAUACUGCAAGCCUAGAGUAUGGAAGAGAGUGAUGGAAUAUCUGGUGUAGCAGUGAAAUGCGUAGAUAUCAGAUAGAACACCAAUGGCGAAGGCAGUCACUUGGUCCAUUACUGACGCUAAAGCACGAAAGCGUGGGUAGCAAACA
rnacentral:rRNA from 1 species